AUGAAUGGGUGCCAAACUAGUUCUAACGAUAUUUGUCAAGAGUGUGAUGUAUCCGAAAUUGGACAACGCUCCUCAAAUUGCCAAAUUGCUUCGAUCAGAGCCAACGAGGAAAUUUUACUGCGAGCAAUACAGUUGGAGGAUCAGAGAAUUAAUGAUUCGAAGAAAUACUUAUUUUCGACGCAUACCAGAGAAGUGAUUCAAAAAUUCCACAAGACUUUUGAGCCGCUGGAUGACGUUCUGAGAAACUUAAACGAGAUUUAUAUAAAAUGUAUACCUGAAGCUGGUUUUUUCCCAGAAGUUAAAAAAGGUGUUGUGGAUGGUUUUGUAGAAAAGAUUGCCGAUGCUAAUCUUAGUUUCAAGAAUCGAAAUCCCGAGUUUGAAAUUUUUGUGACAUCUUGCUCUCACGCAGAUCCAUAUGCUCUACAGCAGACUUUUGUGAGGUUUUACUAGAAAUGUAUAGGAAAAAGCGGCCGACGUUUUGCGGCUGGCUGAACGCAAAAAUUUUAAGAAAUACACUUUUCUUUUCAGCAGCCAGACCAAGUUGUCGGUUGCCACAUAGGAAAAAAUGUUAACAAUAGUAUGACAUUGAAGGAAAAUACAAGAAAUUGAGAAUUUAUCAAAAAUUCAAUAUUUCAGGAGUACCUAAACAAAGCUGAAAGAUUCUUUGCAAGAGAUGAAAUUCAAAAAAUCUGCGACCACUUGGUACCGGCUGUAGACAACUACAAUUUUCAUUUGGUCGUGGAGCUUGGGAAAAGAGCGAAGUUGUUGCACGACGAUCUGAUGAAGCAUCGGAAAGAUAUUCACAACGGUUUUCAUAAUUUGAUACUAACGUCUCAUAACAAUUUUUCUGGCCUGGCUAUUCAACAAUGA